rnacentral:sRNA from 1 species
CAGGCAGCGAGCUCAGAGCCCCAUCAAGGGCCCCAGGAACCUGGCCAGGGCUGCAACUAAGCAGAGGUGCUGGGUCUGACUGAUUGCCCUUGGCCUUGUCAACAAAGUUAGCUCUGUCUUGUGACACCUUUGUUUUUGCAGGGGAAGGAAAGAUACAACUUCCCCAACCCAAACCCCUUUGUGGAGGACGACAUGGAUAAGAAUGAAAUCGCCUCUGUUGCAUACCGUUACCGCAGGUGGAAGCUUGGAGACGAUAUUGACCUUAUUGUCCGUUGUGAGCAUGAUGGCGUCAUGACUGGAGCCAAUGGGGAAGUGUCCUUCAUCAACAUCAAGACACUCAAUGAGUGGGAUUCCAGGCACUGUAAUGGUGUUGACUGGCGUCAGAAGCUGGACUCUCAGCGAGGGGCCGUCAUUGCCACGGAACUGAAGAACAACAGCUACAAGUUGGCCCGGUGGACUUGCUGUGCUUUGCUGGCUGGAUCUGAGUACCUCAAGCUUGGUUAUGUGUCUCGGUACCAUGUGAAAGACUCCUCACGCCACGUCAUCCUGGGCACCCAGCAGUUCAAGCCUAAUGAGUUUGCCAGCCAGAUCAACCUGAGCGUGGAGAACGCCUGGGGCAUUUUACGCUGCGUCAUCGACAUCUGUAUGAAGCUGGAGGAGGGCAAAUACCUCAUCCUCAAGGACCCCAACAAGCAGGUCAUCCGUGUCUA